rnacentral:rRNA from 1 species
AGCAGCCGCCACGGGAAUACAGAGGAUGGAAGCGUUAUCCGGAAUGAUUGGGCAUAAAGCGUCUGUAGGUGGCUUUUCAAGUCCUCCGUCAAAUCCCCGGGCUCAACCCUGGACAGGCAGUUGAAACUACCAAGCUGGAGUACGGCAGGGACAGAGGGAAUUUCUGGUGGAGCGGUGAAAUGCGUUGAGAUCGGAAAGAACACCAACGGUGAAAGCACUCUGUUGGGCCGACACUGACACUGAGAGACGAAAGCUAGGGGAGCAAAUGGGAUUAGAUACCCGGGUAGUCCCUGUCUCUUAUAC